rnacentral:rRNA from 1 species
UUGACCUCGGAUCAGGUAGGGAUACCCGCUGAACUUAAGCAUAUCAAUAAGCGGAGGAAAAGAAACCAACAGGGAUUGCCUCAGUAACGGCGAGUGAAGCGGCAACAGCUCAAAUUUGAAAU